rnacentral:lncRNA from 1 species
GUUUGGGAGUAGCAUUGGACCCUUGGUGUGGUGAAAUUUUUGGUCAUUCUUCAUUUUUAAAAGCAAUUGAGAGGAAGAAAAAGUAGAAAGAAAUUCAUACUAUUCGUUUGAGAUAUCCGCUGCUUUGAAAUGCAUGAGAAUAGAAUAAUGCUGCAGAAACAGGAAAAGGCUGCUCACUACAAGGAAACUACUUCUACUCAGAAAAGCCUGCAACAAACUUACUGAGAAGCUUCAGUUGGAAUUCCCUUUCCUGCUUCAAGAAAGAAGGGGAUACGUUUAUAUACUGCUUCCGUCUGAAGCUCAGAGCAGAAAAUAAAAUCACUGGAUGAUGAAGAUUAAGUGUCUAGGAUUUCAUAUUGACAUUGCUUUCGACGUCCAAGUGCAAACUGUCUAUGCUGCUGAGUUCUCAGAAGAAGGAAAGGAGAAACUAGUGCUUAUGAUGAGUAACAGUUUUCAUUGUUCACCUGCUCUCCUUGGCACCACCCUUAUUAUUUCAAAGGGUAAAAGAAGGUUAUUUUAGAGGACGCACUGAAUAAAAUGGAUAAAGGAAAUCAGACUGUAUUUCAGAAUUUGUGCUUCUGGGACUUUGCCA